UACAGAGUUGAAAUAUACUUAGAUACAAGGAGAUAAUUAUGCCAUCACAAGCAACUUGGAAGGAUAUGGUUCUCCAGUGAACUCUUUGCUUCUCUUUGUAUUUUCAGACACCAGACAUCAGCAAGAGAAAAUGAAAAAGAGCAGAGGAGAGCAGAAGCCCUACGAUGGUGAUUCAUUCAUAAGAGCAAGUGGCGUCCUUUGCUAGCAGCGGGAAGACAAUCUAGGUGUGGCCCGGUGCGAAUCCGCAAGUGUCUGUUAUCUUGUCUUUCCAAAGGAUUCAUCACUGCACAUUCCAAUACUUGUCAUGAUCUUGAGCUUCAAAAGGCAGUUGGUCUGGUGUUUUAGAACCUGUUAAAAGCAAAAAAAAAUCUUGUAAAGCUGUAGUGAGCACACACACACACACACACACACACACACAGGCCCCAAAACAAAAGCCAGGUUCUGUCUCCUCCUCCUCUGCACUUCAGGUACCCAAUUUUGAGUCUGAAUAGAGCCCUCUAAGCAUCUCAUGAAUUUCUAGAACUGCAUAUAAAGGGGGAAGGACAUCUUGCUCUGGAAUGUGAAGGACUUCAGAAGCCACAGAGGUACCUUCCUCCCUGCUUACAAACUGCUCCUUGGGAACGUAGUAAGUAGACCUCAGGAAAACAACCUUAAUUGAGAACAAAGUUUGGAAAAGGGGCAUCACUAAUCUAGUGUGCCUAAAUUUUUUUUAAAAAUAAAGGGGAGGCCCCUUACUCAGGACCCCCAUCUGUC
rnacentral:lncRNA from 1 species